GCAGGAGGCUGCUGGGCCGCGCGCGGGCUGCCGCUGGGGAAGGAACCCCAAGGUGUCCUCCGCGGCUCGUCUGUCACCCGCGCGGACUGGGGCGCCAGGGCCAUGGGCGCGCUCCCCUGAGGCGGAGGUCGCGGGCAGGAGGGUAGGAGGCCCGCGAGAGGCUGCUGCGGAAGCCGCGGGCCCGUGACUGGGCGUCACCACCACCACCACCACCAUGUCGCGCUUGGUUUUAAAAAAAACAUGGGACUUCUGUAAAUUCAAUAAUCCUCAUUGUCACCUUUUGGAAAAUGAGUAUGAUCAUCUCCAUGAUCUACAUCUAAGAGGGUACGUACCAUAGAUGCAAAGAUAUCCUGGCAAGUAAAGAAAGGUGGAUACAUCCCCAGCAAUAAUAAAGGUGCCCACAAAACCCACUUUCCAGGGGUGAGAGUGGCCCGACUACUGAUCUCCCUCUUGGGGUCAAGUUGCCCGUGAUCCCAGGAAGCAAUAGUUUGUACUGUACAACAAUGUUAAGUGCAAAGAAAGAAGGAAGGAAUCUUACUCUUGAACCAAUACAUUACUUCACUGACAGAAUUAGGAGUUCAUCUUCAUACAACCAAGAACAUUUGAUUUCAUAUGCUGGGUAUGUGAAAUUAAAGC